UUUAGUUCAGUUGGGAAGGGGGCAUUGUAAGUAUUUAAUAAAGGGUAACCAUUAUCUUCUUUUUUAUUAUCAACUCUGUUUUAGAAAUAAACUGAGGAGCAGAGAGACUCAGUAGCCUAUCUAGUGUCAUAAAAUAGUAGCUGUGAGAACAGGAUUUAAACUCAUAUUUGAGUGAGCUUAAAUCCAUGGUCUUAGCCAAUCUCUAGGACUGUCUUAGAUGUAGCUUUGGAAGCCUGCUGAGAAAAUUAUUUCUUUCAAUACAGAAUUUCACUCCUUGGUCCAGGCAAAUAAGGGAAUUUUUGGAAGAAACUCAGGGGUCUGCAAUCACCUAUUUCUGUGUCUUGAAUUAGGGCACUAGAGCUGGGUGAAGAGGCAGAGGUGUGCAUAUGGAGGGGGAGGGACUAUGACAGUUUGAGGGAACCGUUUUGUGAAAAUCCUCGCUGGAAGUACCUGGACUUUUGCACCUUCUCUGUACCCCCUGUUCCCAAUCAAGUUUGACUUUUACAGUUAAAUAUCUGAUGAGGAUCAUCUGUGUGCAAUCGACUCAGCAAGCCACUCAAACAUGUCCUGAGUCUUCACUUACACUUGCUGAACAGUUCCUUCCCUAGAACUCCAAAUGAGCUAGGCAGGGGUCUUUCUCCGGAUUCCAGAGCACCCAUCCUCCACCUUAAUUGGCAUGCACACAGGGAUGGAUGAUAUUAUCUCAAGGUUUUCUAAGAGACAUAAAGUGUUUUCUCCGAAAUUGUCUCAAGCAAAUUAACCUCAAUUUUUUGAAAAACAGGCAUUAGAUAAAACCAAAUUAAAUAAAAUGGGAUGUUGAAAUCCUCAAAUGGUAGGACUCUGCCUUUAAAGUGCCUGAGAAGCCAACAAAACCAUGUAUCUGUCCUGUGAAGAUAAAAAUUGAUUAAACCUGG